UACGGAGGGUGCAAGCGUUAAUCGGAAUUACUGGGCGUAAAGCGCACGCAGGCGGUUUGUUAAGUCAGAUGUGAAAUCCCCGGGCUUAACCUGGGAACUGCAUUCGAAACUGGCAAGCUUGAGUAUGGUAGAGGGAGGUAGAAUUCCAGGUGUAGCGGUGAAAUGCGUAGAGAUAUGGAGGAAUACCGAUGGCGAAGGCGGCCUCCUGGACGAAGACUGACGCUGAGGUGCGAAAGCGUGGGGAGCAAACAGG
rnacentral:rRNA from 1 species